UAGUCCACGCCGUAAACGAUGGUCACUAGCUGUUCGGAUUUAUCUGAGUGGCUAAGCGAAAGUGAUAAGUGACCCACCUGGGGAGUACGUUCGCAAGAAUGAAACUCAAAGGAAUUGACGGGGGCCCGCACAAGCGGUGGAGCAUGUGGUUUAAUUCGAUGAUACGCGAGGAACCUUACCAGGGCUUAAAUGUAGUCUGACAGCUUUAGAGAUAGAGUUUUCUUCGGACAGAUUACAAGGUGCUGCAUGGUUGUCGUCAGCUCGUGCCGUGAGGUGUCAGGUUAAGUCCUAUAACGAGCGCAACCCCUGUUGUUAGUUACCAGCACGUAGUGGUGGGGACUCUAGCAAGACUGCCGGUGCAAACCGCGAGGAAGGUGGGGAUGACGUCAAAUCAUCACGGGCCCUUACGUCCUGGGGCCACACACGUGCUACAAUGGUAGGUACAGAGAGCAGCCACUAUGUGAAUAGGGAGCGAAUCUAUAAAGCCUAUCUCAGUUC
rnacentral:rRNA from 1 species